UGAAAGGGGACUUUUCUUUCUUUGCCGUCCGGGAGAUGGAAGGGAGCUGCGCAUGGGGAUGGAAAAGCCGCAGAUUAGUCUCAGACUGGCUCUUCCAUUUCACGGGCAACGUGUCUCACUGCUGGGUGGCUGAGGACAGCACUGAAAUCUGUGCCCAGAAGAUUCCUGCUUCCAAGAGAUGGAGGAUUCCUGCUUCCAAGAGACGGUGCUCCAGAUGGAGAUGCAGCUUUCAUUUGUUGGUCUACAAAGGAAGCAUUUUUUGGAUGGACUUCAGCAGAACCAACCUUGAUUUCCCCCAGCUUUUCUCUCCAGGCAUCUGGGAGAGGGAAUGUGGCUCAAAGCCACAGGAGAGGAACCAACACUCAAGGGUUUGAAUCAUCUCAUUGUGGACAACUGAGACCUGCAGGCUCCUGUCUGGGAAUUUCGUGGUGGGAGCAAUGACCUGUCCUCAUGUUUCUCAAAUCUGAACCAAAAAUUGGGUGACUUUUAAUUUUAAAUGAAAUUCAGCAAAAAUCA